rnacentral:rRNA from 1 species
AUUGAACGCUGGCGGCAGUCCUAACACAUGCAAGUCGAACGAGUGGCGGACGGGUGAGUAAUGUCUGGGAAACUGCCUGAUGGAGGGGGAUAACUACUGGAAACGGUAGCUAAUACCGCAUACCAUCAGAUGUGCCCAGAUGAGCUUAGCUUGUUGGUGGGGUAACGGCUCACCAAGGCGACGAUCCCUAGCUGGUCUGAGAGGAUGACCAGCCACACGGGAAUUGAGACACGGGCCAGAGUCCUACGGGAGGAAGCAGUGGGGAAUAUUGCACAAGGGGCGCAAGCCUGAUGCAGCCAUGCCGCGUGUAUGAAGAAGGCUUUCGGGUUGUAAAGUACUUUCAGCGGGGAGGCGUUACCCGCAGAAGAAGCACCGGCUAACUCCGUGCCAGCAGCCGCGGUAAUUC